ensembl:snoRNA
UGGAUCACUGAUCAUAACUGCCAGUAUAUGAGUCUCAGAUGAUGAACGACAUGUAUCUGAAACUCUGAUAAAUGCAUCAGCAAGGGUCUAU